GUGCUGAGAGCCCUACAUCCUGGGAGCCUUUCUUAUACCUGAGCAAAUCGGGAUGAUUGGAGACAGAAUUCUACUGCUGAUGUUGAGUGAGAGAAAGCAGCUUCCAAGGGGGCCCAAACGACUCAACUUAGGGGACCAUAGACCUGCUGCAUUGCAAAAGCAAGAGGCUAGCAUUUUGAAGGACAUAUUGGAGCAUGAUAAGGCUUUCUAAAUAAGUCAGGUGUAGAGCUGAUUAAUAAUAUUUACUGCAAAUGCAUAAACAAACUAUAACUUACCUUUAUAAGAAGCUUAAAUUGUUACAACCUAAAAAGAAGUGAAAAGAGGCAUUUCAGAGGGGAACAUGUAGCUUGAUGCUUAAGUGUCAAGACAUGUAGCAAGAUACCACGAGUGGCAUCUGACACCUUUUGUGACCAAAGCACAUUCUUGAUAGGUUAUAAGUUUCCUAAAGCCACCAUUUCAAAUUGAACUUGUGGAAUCGAAUGAGGAAACAUUGAGAGCGGGCCUACAGGACUUUUACUGCUGAGUAUAGUCCAAUUCCUCUUGCUCCCUUUAUCCCUACUACCAUCAUCAUCACCAUUGCUAGCAAGGUCUCUCUAUUAAUCCAUGAAGAAAUCUCAGGUAUCGAUGAUGAAUGGAUACACACUAAACAAUGUUGUUCACUACUGUUUAUAUGCAAAAUAUCAUUGAUAUUAUUUUUAGUUAAGGUAUGACCUAAAUUAGAGUGCUUUUUGUGGACUUAUAUGUUUUUGCUUGGUGAAUUUUAAUUGUCCAAAUCUUUUUUUCAAUACAAUUUUAUGUCCUUUUUAACAGGUUCUCACACCAAAAGGGAGCCUGAAAAGUACCACUUUACUCAAGUGAUCAAAGUGAACAUUAUCAGUAAAGGAACAAAUCUAAAUUAUUGAUAUGAUGCAAUGUAAGGAACACAGCAUCAUUUCUGUAGUAUUACUGACAGAAUGCAUAGCAUGAAUCUAAUUAUGAGAAAACAUUAAAAGAGCCUAAAUUUUAGGUACAGUCUACAAAAUAACUGGUCUAUAAUCUUUAACAGUGUCAAGGUUAUGAAUGGCAAGGAAAGACUGAAAAACUAUUCCAAACUGAAGGAGAUUGGAGAGAUAUGUCAAUUAAUUGCAAUGUGUAAUUCUGAACUGGAUUUUUUUGCUAUAAAAGUCACUAUUAGAUUAUUCCGAAAACUGGAAUGGGG
rnacentral:lncRNA from 1 species